CCUACGGGUGGCAGCAGUGAGGAAUAUUGGUCAAUGGACGAGAGUCUGAACCAGCCAAGUAGCGUGAAGGAUGACUGCCCUAUGGGUUGUAAACUUCUUUUAUAUGGGAAUAAAACGUUCCACGUGUGGGAUUUUGUAUGUACCAUAUGAAUAAGGAUCGGCUAACUCCGUGCCAGCAGCCGCGGUAAUACGGAGGAUCCGAGCGUUAUCCGGAUUUAUUGGGUUUAAAGGGAGCGUAGGUGGAUUGUUAAGUCAGUUGUGAAAGUUUGCGGCUCAACCGUAAAAUUGCAGUUGAAACUGGCAGUCUUGAGUAUAGUAGAGGUUGGCGGAAUUCGUGGUGUAGCGGUGAAAUGCUUAGAUAUCACGAAGAACUCCGAUUGCGAAGGCAGUUCACUGGACUGCAACUGACACUGAGGCUCGAAAGUGUGGGUAUCAAACAGGAUUAGAUACCCCAGUAGUC
rnacentral:rRNA from 1 species